AGUUUAAGGGGUCAUGACUAGCAUUUUAAAAAACAAAGUAGGAAAUAUCAGACAGCAAUGCAGAUAGUAAGGCUGACUGUGAAGGCCUUAUUGUUCGCUCUGCCACCAAGGUGACCGCUGAUGUCAUCAACGCAGCUGAGAAACUCCAGGUGGUGGGCAGGGCUGGCACAGGUGUGGACAAUGUGGAUCUGGAGGCCGCAACAAGGAAGGGCAUCUUGGUUAUGAACACCCCCAAUGGGAACAGCCUCAGUGCCGCAGAACUCACUUGUGGGAUGAUCAUGUGCCUGGCCAGGCAGAUUCCCCAGGCGACGGCUUCGAUGAAGGACGGCAAAUGGGAGCGGAAGAAGUUCAUGGGAACAGAGCUGAAUGGAAAGACCCUGGGAAUUCUUGGCCUGGGCAGGAUUGGGAGAGAGGUAGCUACCCGGAUGCAGUCCUUUGGGAUGAAGACUAUAGGAUAUGACCCCAUCAUUUCCCCAGAGGUCUCGGCCUCCUUUGGUGUUCAGCAGCUGCCCCUGGAGGAGAUCUGGCCUCUCUGUGAUUUCAUCACUGUGCACACUCCUCUCCUGCCCUCCACGACAGGCUUGCUGAAUGACAACACCUUUGCCCAGUGCAAGAAGGGGGUGCGUGUGGUGAACUGUGCCCGUGGAGGGAUCGUGGACGAAGGCGCCCUGCUCCGGGCCCUGCAGUCUGGCCAGUGUGCCGGGGCUGCACUGGACGUGUUUACGGAAGAGCCGCCACGGGACCGGGCCUUGGUGGACCAUGAGAAUGUCAUCAGCUGUCCCCACCUGGGUGCCAGCACCAAGGAGGCUCAGAGCCGCUGUGGGGAGGAAAUUGCUGUUCAGUUCGUGGACAUGGUGAAGGGGAAAUCUCUCACGGGGGUUGUGAAUGCCCAGGCCCUUACCAGUGCCUUCUCUCCACACACCAAGCCUUGGAUUGGUCUGGCAGAAGCUCUCGGGACACUGAUGCGAGCCUGGGCUGGGUCCCCCAAAGGGACCAUCCAGGUGAUAACACAGGGAACAUCCCUGAAGAAUGCUGGGAACUGCCUAAGCCCCGCAGUCAUUGUCGGCCUCCUGAAAGAGGCUUCCAAGCAGGCGGAUGUGAACUUGGUGAACGCUAAGCUGCUGGUGAAAGAGGCUGGCCUCAAUGUCACCACCUCCCACAGCCCUGCUGCACCAGGGGAGCAAGGCUUCGGGGAAUGCCUCCUGGCCGUGGCCCUGGCAGGCGCCCCUUACCAGGCUGUGGGCUUGGUCCAAGGCACUACACCUGUACUGCAGGGGCUCAAUGGAGCUGUCUUCAGGCCAGAAGUGCCUCUCCGCAGGGACCUGCCCCUGCUCCUAUUCCGGACUCAGACCUCUGACCCUGCAAUGCUGCCUACCAUGAUGGGCCUCCUGGCAGAGGCAGGCGUGCGGCUGCUGUCCUACCAGACUUCACUGGUGUCAGAUGGGGAGACCUGGCACGUCAUGGGCAUCUCCUCCUUGCUGCCCAGCCUGGAAGCGUGGAAGCAGCAUGUGACUGAAGCCUUCCAGUUCCACUUCUAACCUUGGAGCUCACUGGUCCCUGCCUCUGGGGCUUUUCUGAAGAAACCUACCCACUGUGAUCAAUAGGGAGAGAAAAUCCACAUUCUUGGGCUGAACGCGGGCCUCUGACACUGCUUACACUGCACUCUGACCCUGU
rnacentral:sRNA from 1 species